rnacentral:rRNA from 1 species
GGCGUCGACCGGCGCGACGGUAGACGUAACGACGUACUACCAAACCCUGCCCAUCACUUGGGGAUAACCUUGCGAAAGUAAGACUAAUACCCAAUGACGUCUCUAGAAGACAUCUGAAAGAGAUUAAAGAUUUAUCGGUGUACGAUGGGGAUGCGUUCCAUUAGGUAGUAGGCGGGGUAACGGCCCACCUAGCCAACGAUGGAUAGGGGUUCUGAGAGGAAGGUCCCCCACAUUGGAACUGAGACACGGUCCAAACUCCUACGGGAGGCAGCAGUGAGGAAUAUUGGUCAAUGGGCGCGAGCCUGAACCAGCCAAGUAGCGUGCAGGAAGACGGCCCUAUGGGUUGUAAACUGCUUUUAUAAGGGAAUAAAGUGAGUCUCGUGAGACUUUUUGCAUGUACCUUAUGAAUAAGGACCGGCUAAUUCCGUG